GAGUGAAAUAGAACCUGAAACCGUGUACGUACAAGCAGUGGAAGCCCACUUGUUGGGUGACUGCGUACCUUUUGUAUAAUGGGUCAGCGACUUACUUUUAGUAGCAAGGUUAACCGUAUAGGGGAGCCGUAGGGAAACCGAGUCUUAACUGGGCGAAUAGUUGCUAGGAGUAGACCCGAAACCCGGUGAUCUAGCCAUGAGCAGGUUGAAGGUUGAGUAACAUCAACUGGAGGACCGAACC
rnacentral:rRNA from 1 species